AAUCUCGGACAAUGGGGGAAACCCUGAUCCAGCCAUCCCGCGUGGAAGAUGAAUGCCUUCGUGUUGUUAAUUACUAUUGGCAGAGAAUAAAAGGUAACCCCUAAUAUUUGAUACUGCUGACGGUAUCUUCAGAUUAAGCACCGGCUAACUACGAGCUAACAGCCGCGGUAAUACGUAGGGUGCAAGCGUUAAUCGGAAUUACUGGGCGUAAAGCGUGUGUAGGCGGUUCGGAAAGAAAGAUGUGAAAUCCCAGGGCUCAACCUUGGAACUGCAUUUUUAACUGCCGAGCUAGAGUAUGUCAGAGGGGGGUAGAAUUCCACGUGUAGCAGUGAAAUGCGUAGAUAUGUGAAGGAAUACCGAUGGCGAAGGCAGCCCCCUGGGAUAAUACUGACGCUCAGACACGAAAGCGUGGGGAGCAAACAGG
rnacentral:rRNA from 1 species